rnacentral:rRNA from 1 species
UACGGGGGGAGCAAGCGUUGUUCGGAAUUAUUGGGCGUAAAGCGCGUGUAGGCGGCUUGUUAAGUUGGUUGUGAAAACCCAUGGCUCAACCAUGGAAGGGCGUCCAAAACUGGCAAGCUAGAGUCCCGACGAGGAUGGCGGAAUUCCCAGUGUAGAGGUGAAAUUCGUAGAUAUUGGGAGGAACACCGGUGGCGAAGGCGGCCAUCUGGGAGGGCACUGACGCUGAGACGCGAAAGCGUGGGGAGCAAACAGG